CACGUAGUUAGCCGGUGCUUCUUUACCCAUUACCGUCACUCACGCUUCGUCACAGGCGAAAGCGGUUUACAACCCGAAGGCCGUCAUCCCGCACGCGGCGUUGCUGCAUCAGGCUUCCGCCCAUUGUGCAAUAUUCCCCACUGCUGCCUCCCGUAAGAGUCUGGGCCGUAUCUCAGUCCCAAUGUGGCCGGUCACCCUCUCAGGCCGGCUACCCGUCAAAGCCUUGGUAAGCCACUACCCCCACCAACAAGCUGAUAAGCCGCGAGUCCAUCCCCAACCGCCGAAACUUUCCAACCCCCACCAUGCAGCAGGAGCUCCUAUCCGGUAUUAGCCCCAGUUUCCUGAAGUUAUCCCAAAGUCAAGGGCAGGUUACUCACGUGUUACUCACCCGUUCGCCACUCGAGCACCCCACAAAAGCAGGGCCUUUCCGUCGACUUGCAUGUGUUAAGCACGCCGCCAGCGUUCGUCCUGACGCCACGGAUCAAACUCU
rnacentral:rRNA from 1 species